CCAUCCAAGACCUAAUAA
rnacentral:misc_RNA from 1 species